GCCGUAAUCAGCUAUAAUUCAUUGGUCCGGUAGUCUGACUUCAAAUGUCAAUAAGGUUGAUUGUUUCCGUAGGCUGAUUUGGUAGAAGGUUGAACUGUUCAACCUUCUGUUACCGAAAGUGUAAAAUUUUUAUAAGAGUUAAUUUCAUAAAAUAUUCAUGUAUCUAAUUCCUUCUGUUGAAAUGAAAUUAGAUUUCCAGAAAACCUCUCCCAUGUAAUCGUAUCGAUAGAAAUAACGAUG
rnacentral:lncRNA from 1 species